GUACGGUAGUUUCGUAAGGUACGUUUUCGUACCUCGGUGACAGGAGACAGGUGGUGCAUGGUUGUCGUCAGCUCGUGUCGUGAGAUGUUGGGUUAAGUCCCGCAACGAGCGCAACCCCUACGUUUAGUUGCUAACGCGUAGAAGUCGAGCACUCUAGACGAACUGCCGUUGACAAAACGGAGGAAGGUGGGAUGACGUCAAAUCAUCAUGCCCCUUAUGUCCUGGGCUACACACGUGCUACAAUGGCCGGUACAAAGGGACGCAAAGCCGCGAGGUGGAGCAAAUCCGAUAAAAGCCGGUCUCAGUUCGGAUUGCAGGCUGCAAUUCGCCUGCAUGAAGUCGGAAUCGCUAGUAAUCGCAGGUCAGCAUACUGCGGUGAAUACGUUCCCGGGCCUU
rnacentral:rRNA from 1 species